GUCCUAGCCGUAAACGGUGCACGUUUGCUGUAAGUGGAUUCGAACCCACUUGUGGCGUAGCUAACGCGAUAAACGUGCCGCCUGGGAAGUACGGUCGCAAGAUUAAAACUCAAAGAAAUUGACGGGGCCUGCACAAGUGGUGGAGUAUGUGGCUUAAUUCGAUGCAACGCGAAGAACCUUACCUGGCCUUGACAUGCAUCUAGUAGAAGGGUGAAAGCCUGACGAGGUAGCAAUACCAGGAUGCACAGGUGCUGCAUGGCUGUCGU
rnacentral:rRNA from 1 species